rnacentral:rRNA from 1 species
GCUUUACAAUUAUUUAGUUAAGUUAUAAAUUGUUGGUCUAACUUAAUUUAAUUAAUAUUUGUUUCGUUGGGGCGACGAGAAUAAAAUUAAGUAACUGUUCUUUUGUAAAUAAUUACAAAUCUAUUUGGUAAAAAAUUGAUCCUUUAUUAAAGAUUAAAAGAUUAAGUU